rnacentral:lncRNA from 1 species
AAUAAACCUUCAUAGCAACAUGGAAGGUCAGGUUCAAAAAUAGAAUUCCUGAAUUUCUCUGAGUUCCAUGAUGGGACAUGGUAGAAUGAGGGAAAGCAGACCCCUGGCCCACCCCUACUUCUCUUCUCAGCUCACUCAGCUCAGGCUCUGUCCUACACGACGAAGGGGACUUGAGUACAUUUACAUGGACAUGUCCAAGCUCCACACACAAUCCCACUCCCACCUCGCCAUACCCCUCUCUAACAAACAACUACCCCUUGGGCACUUUUCAGGUCCAGGAAUAAGUACUUUAAUGGUGUGGUCUGUAAAGAUGGAUGGACCUGGAGAAAAGGCUGGCCCGGGCCCAGAAAAUAGGCUGUACAAAGGAAGUACUUCAAUGGCUUCCUGUUAAUACAGCUGAUGACGGGAGAACCCGGGCUGUGCAGCCUGCAGAGAUCUCCAGGGAGGCAGAUUGCUUAUAGCUGGAGGAAACAAACAGGCAGGGCAGCCUGUGCCCAACUUGUCCAGUGUGACUAUUGCUCAGAGACAGUCACAGAAGAGAGAAUUUUGGAUAUGUGAGGAAUGGCCUUCAAGAUAGACCAAGCAUUCAGAUUGGCUUCCUCUCCUUAGAGUUCCCUCCCUAGCCUACCCUGACCCCAUCCCACUCCACCCCCACCUCACCCCUCAACCACAGUUUCCAACCUGAGCCAUCUCCAGGCUGGCUGACUCCCACCACACCUCCUGCAAGCGGUGAAGGGAGGGCCGAGUCCAAUGCCCAGUCCUUCCUCCAAAGUUUACGAAAAGAGAACAUCGUCAGCAACUCUCCCAUCCUGACUCAGCAGUGUGCACUGUCAGCACCUCCGAAUAGUGUGCUCCUCAGAGAAAUAAAAAAUAACCACUCUUUGGAGAAAUGAAAGAGACCUGACCUUUUCCCAUUGAUUCCCCCCCCCUUUUUUUGAUUCAAAUAUCUGCAGCCCCUGGGUGUUCAGAUCCCUUCUUAAUUUUCUCUGUGGGGCCAUUCCUUAAGGUCUUUCUCCCUUCUCAGGAGACAGAAAUUUCUUAGUGCAAGGGCUGUUUGCUUUUCUGCUCCGAGGAACUUGAGGGGGUUUACCAAAC